rnacentral:lncRNA from 8 species
AUGCAACUUGCUACUAUGAGUUCAGAUUCGGUUAUAUUGUUGGAGACGGUGACAUUUUCUGCUGAAAACCACCAAGAUCAACGGACUAAAGACCCCAAAGAAACCAACUAUCCAAUAGAGAGCUUCUUACUUCAUCCGGGAGGAGAAAGACACAGACCUGUAGACCAGGAGCCCAACAGACCCAUUGCUUCAUACCGAUCUCUCCUUUGUCAAAACAAACAGAAGACCUGCAUGUAAGUCUUUAAGUAUUUGUUUAACCAAUUAUUAAUAGUGGGUAAACUUAGGCCGGCAUGGGAUGUCACAAUGACAUAAUUAUCUAGCUGUUAUUUGGUUUUCUGAUAAUAAAAACAAAGAAAUCGUAACCAGAUUAAAACCAGAAACAGGCAUGUUUUUCUGGUUGCUAAACAAAGAGGUAAAAAAAAAAUCCUUGCAGUCAAAACUGGUUGCAUAUUUUAUGACAUUGUCAGGUUGUAUGACAGUUUUCUUCACGACUUUUUAGCGGCCAGAAUUUGUAUUUAUUUAUCUGGUUGUAAUAUGAUCUCUCGUGGACAGACUAUGUUAACCUUAUGAUACCAUGUAAUAUGAUUACAUGACCACGUAGUCUCUGGUGGACAAACUACGUAAACCUUAUGGUACCGUAGAUAAUUAGCUUUUUUAUUUUUAUUAACAAUAAAUCAAUACAAAAACUACAUGCGGAACACAAGUGUGUGUAUAUAUAAAAACAAUACAAAGGACAUUUGGGCUAGGGGGUAUAAUAUCACAUUACACAAGGGCCUUAAGGGACAUACACACACUUAUAAUAUUAACAGCUUUUUUGUUGGCUGAGUAUUUCAUUGUCAUAAAAUAUAGUUCAGUUUCUUUUUUCAAGGUAAUAAAAUGUGGUGUUUUGUUUGUAAAUUUACAUUUGUGAAUAUGAAAUUUGUCCGAAAGAAUAAUGAAAUGAAUUACAUAAAAUAGUUUCAACUUAUUUCUAUCACAAGUAAAGAAUCCAUGCACCACAUCUCUCCAUAAUAGUGUAAAAUCUUCAUAAAUGUGUUCAAUUAUAAAUCUACUGAUGUCUUGCCACAGUUUCCUUACAUGAAUACAAUGCCAAAAAAGAUGCAAUACUGUUUCUGGGUGGUCAUUACAAAAGGUACAAUUUGAAUUUAUGUUUUUCAUAUAGUGGUUGGCAGGAGGUUAAUAUUUAUGAAUAAUUUUAAAAGAAACUUACUUAAUUUUUUUUAUAAAUAGGUAAUGUGUGUGGCAACAUCCAAACUUUUUCCCAACAUACAUUAUCAAUAAAACCAUUCCAAUAAGGCAUAACAUAAGGUAUAGAUUAGAGGUCGACCGAUUAAUUGGAAUGGCCGAUUAAUUAGGGCCGAUUUCAAGUUUUAAUAACAAUUGUAAUCGGCAUUUUUGGACACCGAUCAUGGUCGAUUACAUUGCACUCCACGAGGAGACUGCGUGACAGGCUGACUACCUGUUAUGCGAGUGCAGCAAGGAACCAAGUUAAGGUGCUAGCUAGCAUUAAACGUAUCUUAUAAAAAACAAUCAAUCUUAACAUAAUCACUAGUUAACUACACAUGGUGGAUGAGAUUACUAGGUUAGCUAGCUUUUCCUGCGUUGCAUAUAAUCGAUGCGGUGCCUGUUCAUUUAUCAUUGAAUCAUUGCCUACUUUGCCAAACGGGUGAUUUAACAAGCGCAUUUGCUAAAAAAGCACUGUCGUUGCACCAAUGUGUACCUAACAUAAACAUCAAUGCCUUUCUUAAAAUCAAUACACAAGUAUAUAUUUUUAAACCUGCAUAUUUAGUUAAUAUUGCCUGCUAACAUGAAUUUCUUUUAACUACGGAAAUUGUGUUACUUCUCUUGCGUUCUGUGCAACAGAGUCAGGGUAUAUGCAGCAGUUUGGGCCGCCUGGCUCGUUGCGAACUGGUUGAAGACUAUAUCUUCCGAACAAAGACAGCCAACUUCGCCAAACGGGGGAUGAUUUAACAAAAGCGCAUUUGCGAAAAAAGCACAAUCGUUGCAUGAAUGUACCUAACCAUAAACAUCAAUGCCUUUCUUAAAAUCAAUACACAGAAGUAUAUCUUUUUAAACCUGCAUAUUUAGUUAAAACAAAUUCCGGUUAGCAGGCAAUAUUAAACUAGGGAAAUUGUGCCACUUCUCUUGCGUUCAUUGCACGCAGAGUCAGGGUAUAUGUAACAGUUUGGGCCGCCUGGCUCGUUGCGAACUAAUUUGCCAGAAUUUUACGUAAUUAUGACAAAACAUUGAAGGUUGUUCAAUGUAACAGCAAUAUUAAUUCCGUAUUUCACUGAAAGAAUAAACGUUUUGUUUUUGAAAUGAUAGUUUCUGGAUUUGUCCAUAUUAAUGACCUAAGGCUCAUAUUUCUGUGUGUUAUUAUAAUUAAGUCUAUGAUUUGAUACAGCAGUCUGAUUGAGCGGUGGUAGGCAGCAGCAGGCUCGUAAGCAUUCAUUCAAAGAGCACUUUACUGCGUUUGCCAGCAGCUCUUAUGACUUCAAGCCUGUCAACUUCCGAGAUUAGGCUGGCAAUAUUAAAGUACCUAUUAGAACAUCCAAUAGACAAAAGUAUAUGAAAUACAAAUGGUAUAGAGAGAAAUAGUCCUAUAAUAACUACAACCUAAAACUUCUUACCUGGGAACAUUGAAGACUCAUGUUAAAAGGAACCACCAGCUUUCAUAUGUUCUCAUGUUCUGAGCAAGGAACUUAAACAUUAGCUUUUUUACAUGGCACAUAUUGCACUUUUACUUUCUUCUCCAACAUUUUGUUUUUGUAUUAUUUAAACAUAAUUGAGCAUGUUUCAUUAUUUAUUUGAGACUAAAUUGAUUUUAUUAAUGUAUUAUAUUAAGUUAAAAUAAAAGUGUUUAUUCAGAAUUGUUGUAAUUGUCAUUAUUACAAAUAUGUAUAUAAAAAUCGGCCGAUUUAAUCGGCUUCGGCUUUUUUGGGUCCUCCAAUAAUCGGUAUCGGCGUUGAAAAAUCAUAAUCGGUCGAUCUCUAGUAUAGAUACAACAUCCUGUUGAAACAAGGCUCGUAUAGAUCUAUUGUUGUUGAAUUGACAAAAAUAAAAACAUAUCUUUCCUACUGAUGAGUCAACAGGGGUAAUCGUAGGUAUGUUCUGAGGGUCAGGUCUUGACACGUUCCUGAAUAAUAAAGCAACACCUGAGGGAAU